GAGUGAAGAGGGAAGAGCUCAUCAUUGGAAUCUGGCAGUGUUGCACUGUCCGAGUUGUAGAUGAGGAGUAGUCCAUCUGGACUGCAUGGCGUCCAAGUACAAUAGGCCGUCAGUGGGACAUCAUAGAGGGUGACAAUCCCGUCCUUGAUGCCAAUGUGCAAGUCCGUUACGAUGGCUAUCUCAGAGAGUCGAGCAGUUUGGGAUUUGCUGCUUAAACAUGGGAGGUAGAUUCCUUCUAAAGCUAAAUACAGGCGAGAGACCGAUAGAGAACAAGUACCGCAAGGGAAAGAUGAAAUAGCACUCUGUGAAGGGAGUCAAAAGGCGUGAAAUUGUUGCGAGAGAAGCGAUUCAAGUCAGCGUAGCUAGGCCCAUCAAGCGUCUCGCUUUGGACUAGCUUUGCCAGCGGUCUUGUCCUUUAGAGAGACUUGACUUGUUAACGAUGUCCAGCCUGGUAUGCACAGGUAGCCCCCCGGGGUCAGUGGCAUGGCUGGUGGAAUGGCUUGCAAUCGACCCGUCUUGAAACACGGACCAAGGAGUCUAACAUGUAUGCGAGUAUAAGGGUGGCAAACCCGUAUGCGCAAUGAACGUGAUUUUCGGUGAUUGAGAAUGGCCUGAUGACCAGACAAGCAAUACAUGUCCCUCGGACGGCCAUUGCCCAAGUUCCGUGGUAGAUCCCAUGAACAUGGAGUUGGAGCAUACAUGCUAGGACCCGAAAGAUGGUGAACUAUGCCUGGACAAAGCGAAGCCAAAGGAAACUCUGGUGGAGGCUUGUAGCGAUUCUGACGUGCAAAUCGAUCGUCUGAUCUG
rnacentral:rRNA from 1 species